rnacentral:rRNA from 1 species
UCCUACGGGGGGCAGCAGUGAGGAAUAUUGGUCAAUGGGGGCAACCCUGAACCAGCCAUGCCGCGUGAAGGAAGAAGGUCCUAAGGAUUGUAAACUUCUUUUAUACUGGGGUAAUUUUCUGCUCGUGAGCGGAAUUGAAAGUACAGUAGGAAUAAGCAUCGGCUAACUCCGUGCCAGCAGCCGCGGUAAUACGGAGGAUGCGAGCGUUAUCCGGAUUUAUUGGGUUUAAAGGGUGCGUAGGCGGAUUUAUAAGUCAGCGGUGAAAGACUGUCGCUCAACGAUAGCAUUGCCGUUGAUACUGUAGAUCUUGAGUACAUUUGAGGUGGGCGGAAUGUGUAGUGUAGCGGUGAAAUGCUUAGAUAUUACACAGAACACCAAUUGCGAAGGCAGCUCACUAAACUGUCACUGACGCUGAGGCACGAAAGCGUGGGGAUCAAACAGGAUUAGAUACCCUGGUA